GAUGAACGCUGGCGGCGUGCCUAAUACAUGCAAGUCGAGCGAACAGACGAGGAGCUUGCUCCUCUGACGUUAGCGGCGGACGGGUGAGUAACACGUGGAUAACCUACUUAUAAGACUGGGAUAACUUCGGGAAACCGGAGCUAAUACCGGAUAAUAUAUUGAACCGCAUGGUUCAAUAGUGAAAGACGGCUUUGCUGUCACUUAUAGAUGGAUCCGCGCCGCAUUAGCUAGUUGGUAAGGUAACGGCUUACCAAGGCAACGAUGCGUAGCCGACCUGAGAGGGUGAUCAGCCACACUGGAACUGAGACACGGUCCAGACUCCUACGGGAGGCAGCAGUAGGGAAUCUUCCGCAAAGGGCGAAAGCUUGACGGAGCAACGCCGCGUGAGUGAUGAAGGUCUUCGGAUCGUAAAGCUCUGUUAUUAGGGAAGAACAAAUGUGUAAGUAACUAUGCACGUCUUGACGGUACCUAAUCAGAAAGCCACGGCUAACUACGUG
rnacentral:rRNA from 1 species